rnacentral:rRNA from 1 species
UUCCAGACUCCUACGGGAGGCAGCAGUGGGUUAUAUUGGACAAUGUUUGAAACCCUGAUCCAGCGACGCCGCGUGAUUGAAGAAGUAUUUCGGUAUGUAAAUCUCUAUCAGCAGGGAAGAAAAUGACGGUACCUGAUUAAGAAGCCCCGGCUAACUACGUGCCAGCAGCCGCGGUAAUACGUAGGGGGCAAGCGUUAUCCGGAUUUACUGGGUGUAAAGGGAGCGCAGACGGCAGUGCAAGUCUGGAGUGAAAGCCCGGGGCCCAACCCCGGAACUGCUCUGGAAGCUGUGCGGCUAGAGUACUGGAGGGGCAGGCGGAAUUCCUAGUGUAGCGGUGAAAUGCGUAGAUAUUAGGAGGAACACCAGUGGCGAAGGCGGCCUGCUGGACAGUAACUGACGUUGAGGCUCGAAAGCGUGGGGAGCAAACAGGAUUAGAUACCCCUGUA